rnacentral:rRNA from 1 species
GACGAACGCUGGCGGCGUGCUUAACACAUGCAAGUCGAACGAAGUGGCGAAAGGGUGAGUAACGCGUAAUCAACCUGCCCUUCAGAGGGGGACAACAGUUGGCAACGACUGCUAAUACAGCAUACUGAAGGAGGGGAUUGCGGCUGAUUAGCUAGUUGGGGGGGUAACGGCCCACCAAGGCGAUGAUCAGUAGCCGUUCUGAGAGGAUGAACGGCCCCAGUGGGACUGAGACACGGCCCAGACUCCUACGGGAGGCAGCAGUGGGGAAUCUUCCGCAAUGGACGAAAGUCUGACGGAGCAACGCCGCGUGAGUGAUGACGGCCUUCGGGUUGUAAAGCUCUGUUAAUCGGGACGCGGUACCGGAAUAGAAAGCCACGGCUAACUACGUGCCAGCAGCCGCGGUAAUAC